GAUGAACGCUGGCGGCGUGCCUAGUACAUGCAAGUCGAGCGAACGGACGAGAAGCUUGCUUCUCUGAUGUUAGCGGCGGACGGGUGAGUAACACGUGGAUAACCUACCUAUAAGACUGGGAUAACUUCGGGAAACCGGAGCUAAUACCGGAUGAUAUUUUGAACCGCAUGGUUCAAAAGUGAAAGACGGUCUUGCUGUCACUUAUAGAUGGAUCCGCGCUGCAUUAGCUAGUUGGUAAGGUAACGGCUUACCAAGGCAACGAUGCAUAGCCGACCUGAGAGGGUGAUCGGCCACACUGGAACUGAGACACGGUCCAGACUCCUACGGGAGGCAGCAGUAGGGAAUCUUCUGCAAUGGGCGAAAGCCUGACGGAGCAACGCCGCGUGAGUGAUGAAGGUCUUCGGAUCGUAAAACUCUGUUAUUAGGGAAGAACAUAUGUGUAAGUAACUGUGCACAUCUUGACGGUACCUAAUCAGAAAGCCACGGCUAACUACGUG
rnacentral:rRNA from 1 species